rnacentral:misc_RNA from 1 species
GUGGGCCCCAGCAACAUCUCUUCUUCCCGGCCGGAAGAUUAGGCCAGGUUGUUGCGUCGCCCGGCAAUCGCGCUAACCACAGGUCCACCUCGUCGCAGCUUCAAAAGAGGACAGGCCCCUGGUUCUUCCCCAAGUCGCGCGCACCUCGCAUCCCUUGGCCACACCAAAUCCGACCCUGAGCCACACCAGUAAAGCUCUGUGUGCUUGUCGCGGACAGCAGUGAUAGAAAGCGAGGAGAGAGGGACUGGGGGAAGCCGCCUCCGUCGUUCAUCGUCCACAAUGCCGAUGGGGCCUGGGGUCAAUUGCUCGCCGGUGAAGAUGCUUCGUCGGGGGACCGCACCGAUCCGCGGAUGGGGUAUCGCCACGCUAUGCACUGCUCGGAUGGGCACGUCACCGGCGGGGCCAUGGCCACAUCACCUUGAAGCUUUUUCGGCCACUGCGAACUCGCCCUCUGUUCUCCUAGCCACGGAAUUUGUGAUCGAUGACCUGUCCACCGUCGCGCGCGGGUGGUUCGCUGAACGCCAUAGGCGGGUCCAAACUCGACGCCGUCUCCAUCUGCGCCUCCCUCGCCAACGUGUUCGCCGGCUUCGACCACUGGAUCCGCCCUCAAAAGAGGAACCUGUGACUGAGGAUCCUGGUGACCAGCAGAUAGAAGUAGCUGAGCAGGAGCUCAUUGAAGGAGAAGUACAGGUGGUUCAAGAGGAGCCACGCAACGAGUUUGAUUCGAUGUAGGUGGCGUCUCCCAGUUGACUUUUGCGCCAAGGACGAUCCUUAGUUCGUUUUAUAUUUAUCUUUUAUUUUGUAAUAAGACUUCCGCUAUGUAAUAAUACUCUGAUGUUAUUGUGACAUUUAUCUCUAUACACUCUGUUAUUAUAUA